rnacentral:rRNA from 1 species
UACGGAGGUUGCAAGCGUUGUUCGGAAUAACUGGGCGUAAAGGGAGCGCAGGCGGUUUGGUCAGUCUGAAGUGGAAGCCCGGAGCUUAACUCCGGAAGUGCUUUGGAUACUGCCAAACUUGAGUUCGUGAGAGGAGAGUGGAAUUCCAGGUGUAGCGGUGAAAUGCGUAGAUAUCUGGAGGAACACCGGUGGCGAAAGCGACUCUCUGGCACGAUACUGACGCUGAGGCUCGAAAGCGUGGGGAGCGAACAGG